rnacentral:rRNA from 1 species
CAAUAGCGUAUAUUAAAGUUGUUGCAGUUAAAAAGCUCGUAGUUGGAUUUCUGUUCUUGGGAUCUGGUCCGCCUCACGGUGAGCACUGGAUAACUGGGGACAUCCUCUCGAAGGCGGCAGGUGCACUUGAUUGUGUGUUUGUUGAAUUCGGGACCUUUACUUUGAAAAAAUUAGAGUGUUCAAAGCAGGCGUCGGCUUGAAUACAUUAGCAUGGAAUAAUGGAAUAGGACUUUGGUUCUAUUUUGUUGGUUUCUAGGACCGAAGCAAUGAUUAAUAGGGACAGUUGGGGGCAUUAGUAUUUAAUUGUCAGAGGUGAAAUUCUUGGAUUUAUGAAAGACUAACUACUGCGAAAGCAUUUGCCAAGGAUGUUUUCAUUAA